CAGGUAGCUCAGUCGGUAGAGCAGAGGACUGAAAAUCCUCGUGUCGGUGGUUCAAUUCCGCCCCUGG
rnacentral:tRNA from 1 species